UAUAUAUGUGUUUUCAUAUAUAUACAGCACAUACCAGCUAUAUAACAAUUUACAUAUAAUCAAUGUAUUAUUCUAACGACUUCUUUCCAACACAAAUGCAAAUAACAUAUUUUUUUUACUUAGGCAUACCAAAAAUACAAAGAAAAUACCAAAAAAAAAAAAACAUGCAAAAAGUAAUGUAACCAAAGCUAAAUCUAUGUAAACAUAAUCUAAAUAGAAUCUAGGCGGUCAUAGGAGCGAAGCAAGCAAAAUGCUUUUCUAUUGCAAUUUUCAUACGAUUUCCCCCCUCCCAAGGAUGAGCAAACUCUUCGAAUUGCGCCCACGAUCGUGUGUAUAUAUAGACUAUAUCAUAUUUUGGCGGGGAGAGUCCAUUGAAAGCAUCGGCCUGUCGUGCUUGCAACCGUAUCUUAAAUUAUUUAAAUCAGUGUUUUUUUUUUUGUUUUAAUUAAAAACAUUUAAGAGAUAAACAUCUAUUUAUGUAUUUUAAUCAGUUUAAUUGUAUUGUAUUGUAUAACUAACUAAUAAUAUGUUAACUGAAUAUUGUAAAUACCAGAUAGAAAGAGAAGUGUAUGAAAUGAAAGACAGUGCGAGAACGAGCGACAGCGAAAGAGAAGUGUAUGAAAUGAAGGA